rnacentral:rRNA from 1 species
UUCGUAGGGGGCAAGCGUUGUCCGGAAUCAUUGGGCGUAAAGCGCGUGUAGGCGGUUCGGUAAGUCGGCUGUGAAAGUCCAGGGCUCAACCCUGGGAUGCCGGUCGAUACUGCCGGACUAGAGUUCGGAAGAGGCGAGUGGAAUUCCCGGUGUAGCGGUGAAAUGCGCAGAUAUCGGGAGGAACACCUAUGGCGAAGGCAGCUCGCUGGGACGUUACUGACGCUGAGGCGCGAAAGCGUGGGGAGCGAACGGG